rnacentral:rRNA from 1 species
UACGUAGGGGGCAAGCGUUGUCCGGAAUCAUUGGGCGUAAAGCGCGCGUAGGCGGCCCUGUAAGUCCGUUGUGAAAGUCAAAGGCUCAACCUUUGAAAGCCGAUGGAUACUGCAGGGCUAGAGUCCGGAAGAGGCGAGUGGAAUUCCUGGUGUAGCGGUGGAAUGCGCAGAUAUCAGGAGGAACACCAAUAGCGAAGGCAGCUCGCUGGGACGGUACUGACGCUAAGGCGCGAAAGCGUGGGGAGCAAACGGG